rnacentral:rRNA from 1 species
GACGAAGGGGGCUAGCGUUGUUCGGAAUUACUGGGCGUAAAGCGUGUGUAGGUGGUUGUCAUAGUCAGGCGUGAAAGCCUUGAGCUCAACUCAAGAAAUGCGCUUGAUACUGGGCAGCUAGAGGACCGGAGAGGAUAGUGGAAUUCCCAGUGUAGUGGUGAAAUACGUAGAGAUUGGGAAGAACACCAGUGGCGAAGGCGGCUAUCUGGACGGUUUCUGACACUAAGACACGAAAGCGUGGGGAGCAAACAGGG